rnacentral:rRNA from 1 species
AAGAGGAUAGUGUUUAUUAGAUACAGAACCAAUACACCAUCUGUUUAUCAGGUGGUGUAAAAAAGGUGAUUCAUAGUAACCGAACGGAUCGCAUUAUGGUCAUUUUAUAUGGCUGGCGAUAGAUCAUUCAAGUUUCUGACCUAUCAGCUUUCGACGGUAGUGUAUUGGACUACCGUGGCAGUGACGGGUAACGGGGAAUUAGGGUUCGAUUCCGGAGAGGGAGCCUGAGAAACGGCUACCACAUCUAAGGAAGGCAGCAGGCGCGCAAAUUACCCAAUCCUGACUCAGGGAGGUAGUGACAAGAAAUAACAACACUGGAAAUUUUAUUUCUAGUGAUUGGAAUGAUGGGAAUUUAAACCCCUUUCAGAGUAACAAUUGGAGGGCAAGUCUGGUGCCAGCAGCCGCGGUAAUUCCAGCUCCAAUAGCGUAUAUUAAAGUUGUUGCAGUUAAAAAGCUCGUAGUUGGAUGUCUGCUGGAAGCAAUCAGUCCGCCCUAUUUGUAGGGUGUGCACUUGAUGAAUUCUGGCAUCUAUGUCCCAAUAAUGUGGUGGUGUAUACCCUGUGUAUUACCCAUCUAUAUUGGGAUAAUACCGUUACUUUGAGAAAAUUAGAGUGUUUGAAGCAGGCUAAUUGCCUUGAAUACUGCAGCAUGGAAUAACAAUAUAGGAUUUCGGUUCUAUUUUGUUGGUUUCUAGGACUGAAAUAAUGAUUAAUAGGGACAGUUGGGGGCAUUCGUAUU